rnacentral:rRNA from 1 species
GACGAACGCUGGCGGCGUGCUUAACACAUGCAAGUCGAACGAUGAAGCUGGAGCUUGCUCCGGUGGAUUAGUGGCGAACGGGUGAGUAACACGUGAGCAAUCUGCCCUUGACUCUGGGAUAACUGCGGGAAACUGUAGCUAAUACCGGAUACUUUCACUGGAAGGCAUCUCCUGGUGAAGAAAGAAUUUCGGUCAAGGAUGAGCUCGCGGCCUAUCAGCUUGUUGGUAAGGUAACGGCUCACCAAGGCGACGACGGGUAGCCGGCCUGAGAGGGUGACCGGCCACACUGGGACUGAGACACGGCCCAGACUCCUACGGGAGGCAGCAGUGGGGAAUGUUGCACAAUGGGCGCAAGCCUGAUGCAGCAACGCCGCGUGAGGGAUGAAGGCCUUCGGGUUGUAAACCUCUUUUAGCAGGGAAGAAGCGAAAGUGACGGUACCUGCAGAAAAAGCACCGGCUAACUACGUGCCAGCCGCCGCCGUAA